CGAACGCUGGCGGCGUGCUUAACACAUGCAAGUCGAACGAAAAGACGGAAAGAGCUUGCUCUUUUCAGAAUUGAGUGGCAAACGGGUGAGUAACACGUAAACAACCUGCCUUCAGGAUGGGGACAACAGACGGAAACGACUGCUAAUACCGAAUAGCUUCCAGAGAUCGCAUGAUCCAUGGAAGAAAAGGUGGCCUCUACCUGUAAGCUAUCGCCUGAAGAGGGGUUUGCGUCUGAUUAGCUGGUUGGAGGGGUAACGGCCCACCAAGGCGACGAUCAGUAGCCGGUCUGAGAGGAUGAACGGCCACACUGGAACUGAGACACGGUCCAGACUCCUACGGGAGGCAGCAGUGGGGAAUCUUCCGCAAUGGGCGAAAGCCUGACGGAGCAACGCCGCGUGAGUGAUGACGGCCUUCGGGUUGUAAAGCUCUGUGAUCGGGGACGAACGGUCCGUAAGCUAAUACCUUAUGGAAGUGACGGUACCCGAAUAGCAAGCCACGGCUAACUACGUG
rnacentral:rRNA from 1 species